GACCGGAAGGUGCCUGCGGCUCUGUAGAGCUGGAGGUCAGCGUGGCUUUUUGCAUGCCGAAGUUCCAGCAACCUGCUGGCAAGACUGCUGUGAGCCAUGGUCUGAGUCUCAGAGAUGACUUUUCACACCAUCAAGGCCACUUUCUCAGCUUAUUGACAGCUUUAUGAGCGCUGUUGGAAAAGCCCCAGCUUCCUUCGUUCCUCGGCUCCAGCUUUCCGUCGGGCGAGAGGCAGGUUUUUAAUUAGGGCCUGAGAGCCUUUGCUUUGCUUCAGCGUUCCCCAGGGUCAUAAAAUCAUUAAGGUUGGAAAGGCCACCAAGAUCAUUUAGUCCAACCACCAACCCAUCAAUCAUCCCCAAGGAAGAUUACAAGUAGUGUUGAUAAAUGUAAUAAUAGUGAGGUCAUCGGCUUCCAUGAGCCAUGGGUAUGGUGGACCAGCCUGGGGCUGAGCUCUGAGCAGCAGGGCGGCUGGGUGACCUUGCUGCAGCCCAGAUUACUCUGAGCUCCCAUGAAAGUGUUGUCUUGGCUCCAAGUAACUUUUUAUGUAAAACGCAAAUGAUAGAAAACCAAUUAGGCACUUCUGGAAUGGGUAAAAAACUGCUGUCAUCUCCGAUUUUAAAUGGGAAUUCAUCAGUGGGCAGACAUGUUUCUAAUUGAGCCCAGGAGUUAUCGCUGAUCCAUCUUCGAGGAAGAAUUGUUUCUGGGAAGUCUUAAGGUUUGGGUUAUCCUGGAGAUCAGAAGUGGAAAUCACAGCGAUCUCUUCUGGUUUUUGUAAUGGAUUCAUCCAACAAGCCCUGACACCAGGAGCUCAAACCAACACCAGAGGCUGUCCCACAAAACCAGGCUGAUCCAGAAGUGCCUUAGGAGCUGCAAUCAUUUCUUACCAGCUUUGGUGAAGGCUUCUGAAAGCAACAACGAAGCAGGGACUGAGUUUUCUGCAGGCCUUGUUAUUUAUUAAAGCGUUCUAGAUCCAGAUUAAUUCACUUAGCUUCGUAUUGAUUCCUUCACCUGCUUGGAAAUGAGAAGUGCAAACACAGCUGCAUGCUGGUGGCUGCCUCUCCUGGGAGCCCUACAGAAGAGAUCCCCGAUGGUUUGGGAAGCCGCUUAACUCAGUUUGGGGACUUACAGAGAAGAAUGGCAAAGGCAUCCUGAAGCCUUCGUGCUCCCUGGGAACACACAAGCACAGCUGCUCUCUGUCACCAUCAGUUCUGGGAUUGCUGCUCCCUCCCAUUUUUCCCGUGGUGGAUUCUGGUCUGACCAGGAACUGGAGAUCUUGUUCUGGUUAUUGGUUGCUAAGUGUUCUGAGGAGGGCUCCUUGCUGCAGGAUGGUCCUCGCUGCCCAGUGUGCAGGUGCUUGUAGAACCACAGGCUGUGAGCCUGGUAUUAGCAAGCGUGUGGAGCCUUUGUGUCAUCUCCAGGGGAGAGCUGAGUCCCAUUGAAGGCUGAGGACAGAUGUCAUUCAGAGGGACGGUGACUCCACACCUCCCCAGGCAGCCUGUGCCAGUGCAUCACCACUCUUCUUGAGAAGAAAUUGUUCCUCAUAUCCAACCUGACCAUCACCUGGUGCAGCUCGAGGCCAUCACCUCUCAUCCUAUCACUGUUACCUGGAAGCAGAGGCCGACCCCCACCUCACCACCACCUCCUGUC